AAAGCUUUUCAAUUUCAUAUAAUUGAUGUUAUCUAGUUCAUCUUUUGUGAUUGCCUCUCUCCUUUGUCAGUGGUCCAGCUCUCUCAUUUUUCAGAUGAAGAAACUGAGGUCUAGAGAAUUUAAGUCAUAUUCUCUAGGGCAAGGCUCCUCAAGAUCAUGCAGAGGUAGCAAGUGGAUUUCUUCCUUCUUUCCUUUAUUCCUUCCAUCUUUCUUUCUUUCUUUCUUUCCUUCUUCCUUCCUUCCUUCCUCUUUCUUUCUUUCUUUCUUUCUUUCUUUCUUUCUUUCUUUCUUUCUUCUUCCUUUCUUUCUUUCUUCCUUCCUUCCUUCCUCUUUCUUUCUUUCUUUCUUUCUUUCUUUCUUUCUUUCUUUCUUCCUUCCUUCCUUCCUUCCUUCCCCCUCACUUUCUUUCUUAAUAACAACUCUAAGAUAAAAGGUAAAGGUUAAGCAAACAAGGUUAA
rnacentral:lncRNA from 1 species